UGCUGUGAUUGUGUAAUUUGCGACCGACUCUGUGACCAGUGACAGAAUGCCUGCUGUCAUAUACUGGAACAGAUGGCUGACGAACAAACAUUGAGUCUGAGCA